rnacentral:rRNA from 1 species
AUACUCCCCUAGUAGCGGCGAGCGAACGGGGACCAGGCCUGGUCUGAAAUAAAGCAAAGCAUCUGGAAAGUUGCGCCAUAGUGGGUGAUAGCCCCGUAGCUGUAAAAUGAAGACCUUUACGAGUAGGGCGGGACACGUGAAAUCCUGUCUGAACAUGGGGGGACCAUCCUCCAAGCCUAAGUACUCCUACAUGACCGAUAGUGAACCAGUACCGUGAGG